AGAGAUGGAUUGGUGCCUUCGGGAACUCUGAGACAGGUGCUGCAUGGCUGUCGUCAGCUCGUGUUGUGAAAUGUUGGGUUAAGUCCCGCAACGAGCGCAACCCUUAUCCUUUGUUGCCAGCGGUUAGGCCGGGAACUCAAAGGAGACUGCCAGUGAUAAACUGGAGGAAGGUGGGGAUGACGUCAAGUCAUCAUGGCCCUUACGAGUAGGGCUACACACGUGCUACAAUGGCGCAUACAAAGAGAAGCGACCUCGCGAGAGCAAGCGGACCUCAUAAAGUGCGUCGUAGUCCGGAUUGGAGUCUGCAACUCGACUCCAUGAAGUCGGAAUCGCUAGUAAUCGUAGAUCAGAAUGCUACGGUGAAUACGUUCCCGGGCCUUGUACACACCGCCCGUCACACCAUGGGAGUGGGUUGCAAAAGAAGUAGGUAGCUUAACCUUCGGGAGGGCGCUUACCACUUUGUGAUUCAUGACUGGGGUGAAGUCGUAACAAGGUAGGCGUAGUGCU
rnacentral:rRNA from 1 species